rnacentral:rRNA from 1 species
UACAGAGGGUGCAAGCGUUGUUCGGAAUUAUUGGGCGUAAAGGGCGCGUAGGCGGUUCGGCAAGUCUCUAGUGAAAUCUCUGGGCUCAACUCAGAGUCUGCUGGGGAAACUGCCGGGCUUGAGUGUGGGAGAGGAGAGUGGAAUUCCCGGUGUAGUGGUGAAAUGCGUAGAUAUCGGGAGGAACACCAGUGGCGAAGGCGGCUACCUGGCCCACUCUUGACGCUGAGGCGCGAAAGCUAGGGGAGCAAACGGG